GACGAACGCUGGCGGCGUGCUUAACACAUGCAAGUCGAACGGAAAGGCCCUGCUUUUGUGGGGUGCUCGAGUGGCGAACGGGUGAGUAACACGUGAGUAACCUGCCCUUGACUUUGGGAUAACUUCAGGAAACUGGGGCUAAUACCGGAUAGGAGCUCCUGCUGCAUGGUGGGGGUUGGAAAUUUUCGGCCGUUGGGGAUGGACUCGCGGCUUAUCAGCUUGUUGGUGGGGUAGUGGCUUACCAAGGCUUUGACGGGUAGCCGGCCUGAGAGGGUGACCGGCCACAUUGGGACUGAGAUACGGACCAGACUCCUACGGGAGGCAGCAGUGGGGAAUAUUGCACAAUGGGCGGAAGCCUGAUGCAGCAACGCCGCGUGCGGGAUGACGGCCUUCGGGUUGUAAACCGCUUUCGCCUGUGACGAAGCGUGAGUGACGGUAAUGGGUAAAGAAGCACCGGCUAACUACGUG
rnacentral:rRNA from 1 species